rnacentral:rRNA from 1 species
UAGGGAAUCUUCCGCAAUGGACGCAAGUCUGACGGAGCAACGCCGCGUGAGUGAAGAAGGUUUUCGGAUCGUAAAGCUCUGUUGUUAAGGAAGAACGAGUGUGAGAAUGGAAAGUUCAUACUGUGACGGUACUUAACCAGAAAGGGACGGCUAACUACGUGCCAGCAGCCGCGGUAAUACGUAGGUGGCAAGCGUUGUCCGGAUUUAUUGGGCGUAAAGCGAGCGCAGGCGGUCAAUUAAGUCUGAUGUGAAAGCCCCCGGCUCAACCGGGGAGGGUCUUUGGAAACUGGUUGACUUGAGUGCAGAAGAGGAGAGUGGAAUUCCAUGUGUAGCGGUGAAAUGCGUAGAUAUAUGGAGGAACACCAGUGGCGAAGGCGACUCUCUGGUCUGUAACUGACGCUGAGGUUCGAAAGCGUGGGUAGCAAACAGG